rnacentral:rRNA from 1 species
UGGGGCCUACGGGACGCAGCAGUGGGGAAUAUUGGGCAAUGGGCGCAAGCCUGACCCAGCAGCGCCGCGUGAAGGAAGAAGGCUUUCGGGUUGUAAACUUCUUUUCUCAGGGACGAAGCAAGUGACGGUACCUGAGGAAUAAGCCACGGCUAACUACGUGCCAGCAGCCGCGGUAAUACGUAGGUGGCAAGCGUUAUCCGGAUUUACUGGGUGUAAAGGGCGUGUAGGCGGGGAAGCAAGUCAGAUGUGAAAACCAUGGGCU